UACGAUGGGAGGGCAAGCGUUGUCCGGAUUUAUUGGGCGUAAAGAGCGUGUAGGCGGCUAGAUAGGUCCGUUGUGAAAACUCGAGGCUCAACCUCGAGACGUCGAUGGAAACCAUCUGGCUAGAGUCCGGAAGAGGAGAGUGGAAUUCCUGGUGUAGCGGUGAAAUGCGCAGAUAUCAGGAAGAACACCCGUGGCGAAGGCGGCUCUCUGGUACGUGACUGACGCUGAGACGCGAAAGCGUGGGGAGCAAACAGG
rnacentral:rRNA from 1 species